rnacentral:rRNA from 1 species
GACGAACGCUGGCGGCGUGCUUAACACAUGCAAGUCGAACGGAAAGGCCCUGCUUUUGUGGGGUGCUCGAGUGGCGAACGGGUGAGUAACACGUGAGUAACCUGCCCUUGACUUUGGGAUAACUUUAGGAAACUGGGGCUAAUACCGGAUAGGAGCUCCUGCUGCAUGGUGGGGGUUGGAAAGUUUCGGCGGUUGUGGAUGGACUCGCGGCUUAUCAGCUUGUUGGUGGGGUAGUGGCUUACCAAGGUUUUGACGGGUAGCCGGCCUGAGAGGGUGGCCGGCCACCUUGCGCCUGAGAUACGGCCCAGAAUCCUACGGGAGGCAGCAGUGGGGAAUAUUGCACAAUGGGCGGGAGCCUGAUGCAGCAACGCCGCGUGCGGGAUGACGGCCUUCGGGUUGUAAACCGCUUUCGCCUGUGCCGAAGCGUGAGUGACGGUAAUGGGUAAAGAAGCACCGGCUAACUACGUG